rnacentral:rRNA from 1 species
AUUGAACGCUGGCGGCAUGCCUUACACAUGCAAGUCGAACGGUAACAGGUCUUCGGAUGCUGACGAGUGGCGAACGGGUGAGUAAUACAUCGGAACGUGCCUAGUAGUGGGGGAUAACUACUCGAAAGAGUGGCUAAUACCGCAUGAGAUCUACGGAUGAAAGCAGGGGAUCGCAAGACCUUGUGCUACUAGAGCGGCCGAUGGCAGAUUAGGUAGUUGGUGGGAUAAAAGCUUACCAAGCCGACGAUCUGUAGCUGGUCUGAGAGGACGAUCAGCCACACUGGGACUGAGACACGGCCCAGACUCCUACGGGAGGCAGCAGUGGGGAAUUUUGGACAAUGGGCGCAAGCCUGAUCCAGCAAUGCCGCGUGCAGGAUGAGGGCCUUCGGGUUGUAAACUGCUUUUGUACGGAACGAAAAGACUCUGGUUAAUACCUGGGGUCCAUGACGGUACCGUAAGAAUAAGCACCGGCUAACUACGUGCCAGCCGCCGCCGUAAAAC